GCCCUGCACCUCCUCCCCACCCCAGCCAGGUUGCACCCCGAUGGACUCCCUGCCCAAGGAGGAGAGAAGAGAAGGGACGCCCCGAGAGGGUGGACAUCGGCCACAGCCACCUUGUCUUUGCUCUUACCCUGUGUCUUCCAUGAUUUGGAGGUGGUGGGAAAACCGAGGCUGCUCAAAACUCGUGGAGAAUUCCGCCUGCAGGAUGACAUGAAUGCACCUUCGCAUUGCCUACCAACAGAUCUUUUCUGAGCAUCACUGUGGACCAGGCGUGGUGAUGGGGGAGGGGAUAUUGUGGUGAACAUGACAGGCAUUGCCUUCACCCAGUGGGGCUCAGCACUGGGUGAGAAGGCAUUGAGAAUGGACAUUGUCAAUUGGGCCAAAGGAGGCCAAGGAGAAGUGCUGGGUGCAUGGGAACUAAAAAAGACAGGAGGCUCAGCAGGUCUUGGAGCUGGGAGAGGGACAGCAGCAGCGGCUGUUCCAAAGGAAGCAACAGCUGAGAGAGGUCUCAGAGAGUUGUUCUCAGCCCAGUGGAGGGUGUUCAGGCAGAGGGAACAGCGUGUGCAAAAGCCCAGAGGCUGGGAAAGAAGCAGAAAGAGGACGGUGGGGCUGGAGCGUGGUGGGCAAGGUGAGAGAGGUGUGGUGGGUGGACAGAUGGCCUUGGACCCAGCCGUGCAGGGGCAGAGGAGAUAGGGGAUCCUUGCAGGCCCCCAGCCGGGGCUGAGGCACAGAGACAAUGCAGGUGGGCAAAGGGAGGAGACGUGGAGAAAUAUUUUGGAGGCAUGCCCUGAUGAAGGAGCCCAGGAUGCACCCUUAGUGUCAGUGUGGAGCUCCUUCCUUGGCUGUGUGAUGAGCUGAACUCGGGGGUAUUUUCUGGACAUGGAGGUGCUACACCCAGAGUCCAGGACAGGCUAAGUGAGCACCAGCAGCUCCUGGCCCACCUCAAAAGCAGGAGAGACAGGGGAGACUGGGGAGGCCGGGGUGGAAGGGGAAGCCAGGAAGGCAGGAGAGGCCACAGAAGCAGAGGAGGCCAGGGAGGCAGAGGAGGCAGGAGAGGCUGGGGAGGCUGUGUCCUUCCCCAGAUUCUGCCCAGGAUCCUAGGCCCCUGAGCUUCUCCACCCCAAGAGCUGGAACCAUGUUGCACAAUGGUCUCCCCAACUAAGCUCCUGAUGGCAGCCCCUACCCUGCUGUGCUCUCUAUUUCAACCCUAACAGCUCUCACAGUGGGCAGCACACAGUAGGUGCUCAGGAAACACUGGUGGCAGAGCACAUGGGUCUGCUCAGCACCUUCCUCCCUCCUCCAGCUCUCCCUAUCAUGAAAUAAUUCUGAUAACGACACAUGGACUUUGAGAUGCUCUUCUAUUACUUUCCAUAUGCUAAUCCAUCUAUACCCCACAGCAGCCCUGAGGGUGGGUGCUAUUAGGAUGCCCAUUUUAUAGAGGAGGAAACUGAGGUAUAAAGAGGGUAAGU
rnacentral:lncRNA from 1 species